rnacentral:rRNA from 1 species
GAUAAACGCUGGCGGCGUGCCUAAUACAUGCAAGUCGAGCGAACGGACGAGAAGCUUGCUUCUCUGAUGUUAGCGGCGGACGGGUGAGUAACACGUGGAUAACCUACCUAUAAGACUGGGAUAACUUCGGGAAACCGGAGCUAAUACCGGAUAAUAUUUUGAACCGCAUGGUUCAAAAGUGAAAGACGGUCUUGCUGUCACUUAUAGAUGGAUCCGCGCUGCAUUAGCUAGUUGGUAAGGUAACGGCUUACCAAGGCAACGAUGCAUAGCCGACCUGAGAGGGUGAUCGGCCACACUGGAACUGAGACACGGUCCAGACUCCUACGGGAGGCAGCAGUAGGGAAUCUUCCGCAAUGGGCGAAAGCCUGACGGAGCAACGCCGCGUGAGUGAUGAAGGUCUUCGGAUCGUAAAACUCUGUUAUUAGGGAAGAACAUAUGUGUAAGUAACUGUGCACAUCUUGACGGUACCUAAUCAGAAAGCCACGGCUAACUACGUGCCAGCAGCCGCGGUAAUACGUAGGUGGCAAGCGUUAUCCGGAAUUAUUGGGCGUAAAGCGCGCGUAGGCGGUUUUUUAAGUCUGAUGUGAAAGCCCGCGGCUCAACCGUGGAGGGUCAUUGGAAACUGGAAAACUUGAGUGCAGAAGAGGAAAGUGGAAUUCCAUGUGUAGCGGUGAAAUGCGCAGAGAUAUGGAGGAACACCAGUGGCGAAGGCGACUUUCUGGUCUGUAACUGACGCUGAUGUGCGAAAGCGUGGGGAUCAAACAGGAUUAGAUACCCUGGUAGUCCACGCCGUAAACGAUGAGUGCUAAGUGUUAGGGGGUUUCCGCCCCUUAGUGCUGCAGCUAACGCAUUAAGCACUCCGCCUGGGGAGUACGACCGCAAGGUUGAAACUCAAAGGAAUUGACGGGGACCCGCACAAGCGGUGGAGCAUGUGGUUUAAUUCGAAGCAACGCGAAGAACCUUACCAAAUCUUGACAUCCUUUGACAACUCUAGAGAUAGAGCCUUCCCCUUCGGGGGACAAAGUGACAGGUGGUGCAUGGUUGUCGUCAGCUCGUGUCGUGAGAUGUUGGGUUAAGUCCCGCAACGAGCGCAACCCUUAAGCUUAGUUGCCAUCAUUAAGUUGGGCACUCUAAGUUGACUGCCGGUGACAAACCGGAGGAAGGUGGGGAUGACGUCAAAUCAUCAUGCCCCUUAUGAUUUGGGCUACACACGUGCUACAAUGGACAAUACAAAGGGCAGCGAAACCGCGAGGUCAAGCAAAUCCCAUAAAGUUGUUCUCAGUUCGGAUUGUAGUCUGCAACUCGACUACAUGAAGCUGGAAUCGCUAGUAAUCGUAGAUCAGCAUGCUACGGUGAAUACGUUCCCGGGUCU